CGGCCGCGGGACACGCUCAGCGACCUGCGCGCCCAGCUGGUGGGCCAGGGCGUGAGCUCCUGGAAGCGCGCCUUCUACUACAACGCGCGGCGGCUGGACGACCACCAGACGGUGCGCGACGCGCGCCUGCAGGACGGCUCGGUGCUGCUGCUCGUCAGCGACCCCAGGUAGUCUGGGUUGGAGGAGGCAGAGCCAUGACCAAGGGGACCUGGGUACUGGCUGAAGGAAUAGGCUGGGGUAGAGGGCACUUUUGGAAGGCACUUCUCCUGCCUCCCGGGAGCCUAGAUCUCACUCCAGGUGGCAGAAAACAGCCAAGUUCCAAGAGAAUCGCUUGAACCCAGGAGUCAGAGGUUACAGUGAGCCGAAAUCACGCCAUUGCACUCCAGCCUGGCGACAGAGCAG
rnacentral:lncRNA from 10 species